rnacentral:rRNA from 2 species
GGGCGGGGUGCUUACACAUGCAAGUCGAACGAUGAAGCCCAGCUUGCUGGGUGGAUUAGUGGCGAACGGGUGAGUAACACGUGAGUAACCUGCCCUUAACUCUGGGAUAAGCCUGGGAAACUGGGUCUAAUACCGGAUAGGAGCGUCCACCGCAUGGUGGGUGUUGGAAAGAUUUAUCGGUUUUGGAUGGACUCGCGGCCUAUCAGCUUGUUGGUGAGGUAAUGGCUCACCAAGGCGACGACGGGUAGCCGGCCUGAGAGGGUGACCGGCCACACUGGGACUGAGACACGGCCCAGACUCCUACGGGAGGCAGCAGUGGGGAAUAUUGCACAAUGGGCGAAAGCCUGAUGCAGCGACGCCGCGUGAGGGAUGACGGCCUUCGGGUUGUAAACCUCUUUCAGUAGGGAAGAAGCGAAAGUGACGGUACCUGCAGAAGAAGCACCGGCUAACUACGUGCCAGCAGCCGCGGUAAUACGUAGGGUGCGAGCGUUAUCCGGAAUUAUUGGGCGUAAAGAGCUCGUAGGCGGUUUGUCGCGUCUGUCGUGAAAGUCCGGGGCUUAACCCCGGAUCUGCGGUGGGUACGGGCAGACUAGAGUGCAGUAGGGGAGACUGGAAUUCCUGGUGUAGCGGUGGAAUGCGCAGAUAUCAGGAGGAACACCGAUGGCGAAGGCAGGUCUCUGGGCUGUAACUGACGCUGAGGAGCGAAAGCAUGGGGAGCGAACAGGAUUAGAUACCCUGGUAGUCCAUGCCGUAAACGUUGGGCACUAGGUGUGGGGACCAUUCCACGGUUUCCGCGCCGCAGCUAACGCAUUAAGUGCCCCGCCUGGGGAGUACGGCCGCAAGGCUAAAACUCAAAGGAAUUGACGGGGGCCCGCACAAGCGGCGGAGCAUGCGGAUUAAUUCGAUGCAACGCGAAGAACCUUACCAAGGCUUGACAUGUUCUCGAUCGCCGUAGAGAUACGGUUUCCCCUUUGGGGUGGGUUCACAGGUGGUGCAUGGGUUGUCGUCAGCUCGUGUCGUGAGAUGUUGGGUUAAGUCCCGCA